CGUCCUCUGAGCUCUGCCUUCUGGAGCCUCUUCCAAGCAUCUUGCCAAGAGGGGCUUCCCCAGGCGUAAACACAAGCAAGCAUGCGGGUCCUCCCCAGCAGAAGCACCUCCACGGGAGGGGUGAUCUGGGGUCACACUCAACCUCGGGACUGCUACUCUGAGGACGAAAUCAGGGUAGAAGCAGCCAGUGACAGGAACGUCCUCCCAGGGCCCGGGGUGCAUGAGGAUCUGACAAGUUAGGAACACCCAUGUUCCUAGGGUGAUGUGGGUGUUGUCACCAGAAAGCAUGUGUGGAAUGCGACUGUAACGAGCAAGGUGGAAGCCUGCUCGAUUGCAUCACAUUCUGACUUCCACGCUUUCCAAACUUGGCUAUCAGAAUUCCCAGGGAAUCCGUUAGGAACGCUGAGAGUACUGGGCCCCAUCUCCAGGCUCAGACUCACGCUUGGAGCCUGAAGAGAAUAUGUUAGCUGUCUCCAGCCUUGCCACCAGACUGUCCUGAACCACGACCCUCGCGGUUCAGUUUCAAAAACAUCUUACACCAAGGGCUGCAUCACAGCCUGACUGCAUUAACCAUCAGAGUCGGCCCCCUAGCUUUUUGCUUCGAUUUCCUACUCCAUAAGCAAUUUCUAACCACAAUUUGGUUUCAAAUGUAGAUUUAUCUAGGACUCAAUGUGCUAACGGCAAGUGAGAGCAAUCUGGCCCGUGACAGCCAUGAUUCUUGUUGUCAGGUAGCAAACUUGCCUUCCAGUUUACCCGUCAGCUUCCUGUGAGUCCAGGUGAGGGACAGGGCAAGUCUAGGUGAACAAAACAAAGUCUCUUCUGGAUCUACAGGCACUGGAAUUCAGUUGUCACACCAAGGGACUCGUCUGGGAGAGACAGUGCCCACCGUGGAUGUGUAGGUGUGCACCUUACACCUCCCAGCCCCCUGGCAGUCAGUGGGGGGGCGGGGGGCGUGUGACUUGGUCUCACGCAUCAGAAUGUGAGCAGGUGUGACCAUCGCAUCCAGACAAGGGCAGUCAAGGGUGAACGUGAGUCCUCAUGUUCCUUCCUCGGACUGCGCAGCUACAAGCAAAGAACUCCAAGACGGCAGGGUCUUAUGACAGAAGCAGCUGGCUUUGCUGGUCACCCAGGGAGGAGAGCUACCAAAGCUCACUGCAGCGGCCUGUGACCUGAGCCCUGGACAAGCCUCCACCUUGUUUGGGGAGAGUUUCCCUGGGACUCCUGCCCUGGCCGUCAGCUCUAACCAGCCUCUCCGGUGCCCUCUCCCAUGAAGCUAGGUGUGAGCAGCUUAGGGGUUCUCUCGAGCACACCUCUAGCUUUAUGCUUUCUGCCUGUGCGGGAAGAGACAUCACCCACAGCCCAAGUGCCACCCUGGUGGGGAGGUUUUUGGCACAUAAAUGACCACCCACAAGUGGGCCUGCUCUUCCUUACUGGCAAAAUCAGGAGGAAAAAAGAUGAUUCCUGGAGGAGCUAACAUUUUCCCUUUGGUUCUUUCUUUGGUCUAACUUGUCCAGGUUGUUAGCAGGGGGCCUAGCAGACAGUGGGUGCUCAGGAGAGCCUGACCAUCACGAUGGUGGAGAUGUGUCUGACCAUCUCGGCAAGGGCUGAAGAGGCAGUUUCCUUUUGCAUAAGUUCACAGGUCAUCAGACAUUUAUAAACAAAAAGUUUAUUUCCAUCACAAGAAGCACACAGACUAUACAGUACACACCAACAGAAGUAAAAAAAAAAAAAGUGCAUUAUGCAUCUUCUACUGCAAAUUCACAGUACAAAAGAUACUGCCUUUUAAAUAUAUAAUAUAAAAAAAAAAACAAGAAGAAAACCAAUAGAAUAAAAAAAACCCCCAUGGAUGUAAUGCAACACACUGGGAACCCACUGGCAACUCCUAAAAACCAAAGGGCAGCCCAUCCCGGGGUGCUCCUGAUUUUGGUGCGGGGCUGGGGGGGGGGGGUCUGUACCUGCAUUUUGUUGCAAAGAGCUCAGGACACUAACAGAGAGGAAAAUAGGGUGGUCGACGUGGUAAUAAAAAGUCUAUUAAACAAGAGUAUGAUUGUGUGAUGGGGGAACGGGUGAGGUGGAAGACGAAAGGCAGCUGAAUACACAGGGUACCAAGCUGAUUUAGACAAUUUUUGUUCUCUCCUAAUUCGAGAAAGGCAUUCUGUAAAAAUGGCAGUCACCAAAAUCAAUGACUUUCCCGGCAUAAACCCCUGCCUCUCACUUGUGCCGCUCACGUUCAGGAUUUCCCCACCGGCUAAGAUGACAAAGCAUCAGUCAAGAUUUGGCAUAGCUUAUGGAGCAGACGUUCUUUUCAGAGACCAGAAAUGAAUCUGUCUUCGCCAACGUACCCCCAAGCCUGGCAGAAUGCUCUCAGCUCAUUAGUAGAAUAUCUCAAAUAGCAAUCCACUAUAGGUUUACACGCA
ensembl:lncRNA